rnacentral:misc_RNA from 1 species
AAUAAUAAUAAUUAUUAUUAUUAAUAGGAAGAGAAAGUGUAGAGGAAUAGCAUCUCAUUUCACCGGACGUUCUUCUUUAAACUCAUUUUAUAGAUAUAAGAUAUAAAAUGUAUAAUAAGUCAUUUAUUAAAUACGUAAGUGUUGCUAUUUUGAAUCUCAUAUCACUCUAAAUUUACCAUUGGGUUUAUUUUUCACCCACCAAUGAGGAACUCAUUCGACAUGAAUCUUUUUAACUUCUGAUCUCAUCCUUCACAAAAGCAUUAUUAUUAUUAUUAUUAUU